rnacentral:rRNA from 1 species
GGGAUAGCCUUUCGAAAGAAAGAUUAAUACCCGAUGGCAUAGUUCUUCCGCAUGGUGGAACUAUUAAAGAAUUUCGGUCAUCGAUGGGGAUGCGUUCCAUUAGGUUGUUGGCGGGGUAACGGCCCACCAAGCCUUCGAUGGAUAGGGGUUCUGAGAGGAAGGUCCCCCACAUUGGAACUGAGACACGGUCCAAACUCCUACGGGAGGCAGCAGUGAGGAAUAUUGGUCAAUGGACGAGAGUCUGAACCAGCCAAGUAGCGUGAAGGAUGACUGCCCUAUGGGUUGUAAACUUCUUUUAUACGGGAAUAAAGUGAGGCACGUGUGCCUUUUUGUAUGUACCGUAUGAAUAAGGAUCGGCUAACUCCGUGCCAGCAGCCGCGGUAAUACGGAGGAUCCGAGCGUUAUCCGGAUUUAUUGGGUUUAAAGGGAGCGUAGGCGGACGCUUAAGUCAGUUGUGAAAGUUUGCGGCUCAACCGUAAAAUUGCAGUUGAUACUGGGUGUCUUGAGUACAGUAGAGGCAGGCGGAAUUCGUGGUGUAGCGGUGAAAUGCUUAGAUAUCACGAAGAACUCCGAUUGCGAAGGCAGCUUGCUGGACUGUAACUGACGCUGAUGCUCGAAAGUGUGGGUAUCAAACAGGAUUAGAUACCCUGGUAGUCCACACAGUAAACGAAGAAUACUCGCUGUUUGCGAUAUACAGUAAGCGGCCAAG